AUUUUUUGUAGUCUCCCGUAAUCUGUUAGCGUAGUUUUUUAGUUUUUACUUCUCUUUUGCUCAAAACCACAAAACCCUAGCUCCCUCCGUCUCUCUCUGUCUCUCACUCACUCACUCGUGUUUUAACUAUGAACUGCUCCAUUUCCGGCGAGGUGCCGGAAGACCCAGUGGUGUCUAAGAAAUCCGGUCUUCUUUUUGAGAAGCGGUUAAUUGAGACGCACAUAGCGGAUUAUGGAAAAUGUCCAAUAACUGGAGAACCCCUUACGUUGGAUGAUCUUGUACCAAUCAAAACAGGCAAGAUAGUGAAGCCCAGACCAGUGCAGGCAGCUAGCAUCCCUGGCAUGCUUGGAAUGUUCCAAAAUGAAUGGGAUGGGUUGAUGCUAUCUAAUUUUGCAUUGGAGCAACAAUUGCACACAGCCAGGCAAGAGCUAAGUCAUGCUUUAUAUCAGCAUGAUGCUGCAUGUCGAGUGAUUGCAAGACUUAAAAAGGAACGUGAUGAAGCUAGGUCAUUGCUUGCAACAGCGGAAAGGCCAUUCCCGGUGUCAGCGAAUGCUAUACCGGCAAAUGUCUCUGGCUUGAGCAAUGGGAAAAGAGCUGCUGAGGAUGAUGAGAUGGCACAUGGUGGAAAGAAAAUGCAUCCUGGAAUAACUUCUGCAAUAAUUUCUGAGCUAACUGACUGCAAUGCUGCUCUUUCCCAGCAGAGGAAAAAGCGACAGAUUUCUACAACAUUGGCUCCUGUUGAAUCUAUAGAGGCUUAUACCCAGAUAUCUAGCCACCCCUUCCACAAAACAAACAAACCGGGCAUUAUAUCUCUUGAUAUCCUGUAUUCUAAGGACUUAAUUGCAACUGGCGGUAUUGAUAUGAAUGCUGUUAUUUUUGACAGACCAUCAGGACAAAUAUUAUCUACACUCAGUGGUCAUUCUAAAAAGGUAACCAGCGUAAAGUUUGUAGCUCAGGGCGAAUCGUUAUUAACCAGUUCAGCAGAUAAGACGGUUCGUGUGUGGCAAGGCUCGGAGGAUGGUAACUAUAACUGCAAACACAUCCUGAGGGAUCAUACAGCUGAGGUACAAGCUGUCACUGUCCACGCCACCAAUAACUACUUUGUGACUGCUUCACUUGAUGGCACUUGGUGCUUUUAUGAUCUGUCUUCAGGAACAUGUCUGACUCAGGUUGCAGACACUUCAGGUUCUUCUGAAGGCUAUACUUCUGCAGCUUUUCAUCCUGAUGGGCUCAUUAUUGGAACUGGCACCACAGAUGCUCUUGUAAAGAUCUGGGAUGUAAAAAAUCAGUCAAAUGUUGCUAAAUUUGAUGGACAUACAGGAUCAGUAACUGCCAUAUCCUUCUCUGAGAAUGGGUACUUCCUUGCGACUGCGGCUCAUGAUGGUGUAAAGCUUUGGGAUCUACGCAAAUUAAAGAACUUCCGAAAUUUUGCUCCGUAUGACUCGGAAACUCCGACAAACUCAGUUGAGUUCGAUCACAGUGGAUCUUACCUUGCAGUUGCAGGCUCUGAUAUCAGGAUUUACCAAGUCGCAAAUGUGAAAUCUGAAUGGAACUGUAUCAAAACUUUCCCAGAUUUAUCUGGAACAGGGAAAGUCACCUGUGUAAAAUUUGGUCCAGAUUCAAAAUACAUAGCAGUGGGGUCAAUGGAUCGGAAUCUUCGAAUAUUUGGCCAACCUAGUGAAGAUACUCCAACCGAGUCGUAAGCUGCUGUGGUGACCACAGCCCGAAUUGUAUUUAGUUCAUGAGUGACAGUUGCUGCAUGCUAUUGAUGCCUUGGUCUAAUUGCAUGGAUGAGAAAAAUUGAAUCAGUUUUUACUUCUUGAGCUUUAGUGUUGGUCCUUGAUAUGCCCAUAUGGGGGUAUGGGAUGGGGCAAAUGUAGUUUCAGGCUUGACGCACCAACAUUACCUCUGCCUUGCCCUGGAAUACCCAGAGGACUAAGUUGCAAUUUUUGCCAUGUCAUCGAAACCUAAUGCAUAUGUUGAAUAUUAGGUUAAUGGUCAAAUUGGUUUCGAAAGAUCGCUCGAUCAUCAUUUUCGUCCCCGAAUAAUUCUUUUAAUCAAAUUAGUCUCCGAAAGAUUUAUCAGUCGCA